AGAUGCUUCAGCAUGCAGCUCCGUUUGAAUAUCAUCCAUACUUUCCUCAGCUUUGUGACUAUCAUCUGUAGUUGCUCCCCCAUCAUCAAGACUUCUCGGAAAAGUAUCUAGACAUAAGUCUACAGGACUGCUUGUGGUCGACUUUGGCUUGUUAGACUUCUUGAAGUCAUCGAUCAUUUGAUCCUUCAAAAAAACAACAUCAC
rnacentral:lncRNA from 1 species